rnacentral:sRNA from 1 species
UCCUGUGUCAGCACUACACUGAUGAGGCCCAAAAGGCCGAAACGGUACCGUCUGUAGUUAUAUAUAUAUAUAUAU